GCCUUGAUAGCUCAGUAGGUAGAGCAGGUGAUUGAAAAUCAUUGUGUCGGCAGUUCAAUUCUGCCUCAAGGCACCA
rnacentral:tRNA from 1 species